UAUUGGAUUGAGAAUAGAUC
rnacentral:miRNA from 1 species